AUAUCCUCAUAAGUUUGACGAAAAGAGGUACCACUUUAAAAUAACCCUUUAACUAAAAACCCAUCGCUCUAGUUUUUUCUUAUGGAAAAAAACAAGGCAGCAUGCUUUGAGGCAGCAGCAAGCCUGCCUGCCUGCGUACGCUGGCAGGCUGGUUGGGGUAGGGUAAAUAAAGGGGUGACACAAAAUCGGAGGCCACGACUGUUUACUAAAAACACAAUUCUAUGCAAUCACGUAAGUGGUAGAAUAUGGAAUGAAAUUUGCCCGAUGCCGUUAAUAUAAAAAAGGUCAUAUGGAUAAUGUGAUUGAUUGAAAAUCCGGUCUAUGGCGGUCUUAACCUUGAGGAUCCUAAGGUAGCAUAAUCAUUUGGCCAUUAAAUGUGGUCUGGAAUCAAUAAUUUAACGAUGGUCUCACUGUCUCAACUAUUUGCUCAGUGAAAUUGAAUUACGCGUGAAGAUUCGCCGUUACUUUCGAGGGGACCGGAAAGACCCUAUG
rnacentral:rRNA from 1 species